rnacentral:rRNA from 1 species
UACGGGGGGGGCAAGCGUUGUUCGGAAUUACUGGGCGUAAAGGGCUCGUAGGCGGCCAACUAAGUCGGAUGUGAAAUCCCCAGGCUUAACCUGAGAACUGCAUCCGAUACUGGAUGGCUUGAAUCCGGGAGAGGGAUGCGGAAUUCCAGGUGUAGCGGUGAAAUGCGUAGAUAUUGGGAGGAACACCAGUGGCGAAGGCGGCUACCUGGACCGGUUCUGACGCUGAGGCGCGAAAGCGUGGGUAGCAAACAGG